UACGUAGGGUGCAAGCGUUGUCCGGAAUUAUUGGGCGUAAAGAGCUCGUAGGCGGUUUGUCGCGUCGGCUGUGAAAACCUGGGGCUUAACUCCGGGCCUGCAGCCGAUACGGGCAAGCUAGAGUUCGGCAGGGGAGACUGGAAUUCCUGGUGUAGCGGUGAAAUGCGCAGAUAUCAGGAGGAACACCAAUGGCGAAGGCAGCUCGCUGGGACGUGACUGACGCUGAGACGCGAAAGCGUGGGGAGCAAACAGG
rnacentral:rRNA from 1 species